CAUGUAGGUAUCUGCCCUUUGGCCUGGAAUAACACGAGGAAACUUGUGCUAAUACCGGAUAAGUCUUUACGGAGAAAGCUUUAUGCACCAUUGGAUGAGCCUGCACUUGAUUAGUUUGUUGGUGGGGUAAUGGCCUACCAAGACUGUGAUCAAUAGCUGAUUUGAGAGGAUGAUCAGCCACAUUGGGACUGAGACACGGCCCAGACUCCUACGGGAGGCAGCAGUGAGGAAUAUUGGGCAAUGGAGGCAACUCUGACCCAGCCAUGCCGCGUGCAGGAAGACUGCCCUAUGGGUUGUAAA
rnacentral:rRNA from 1 species